GGGCGAAUAGCUCAGUUGGGAGAGCGCCUGCCUUACAAGCAGGAUGUCGGGGGUUCAAGUCCCUCUUCGCUCA
rnacentral:tRNA from 1 species